ACUUACCACCGCAUCACCCUUACAAAUAUAAGUCCCCACCCACCGCAUCUCCACAAGUGCAAUACCUCACCACCGCAUCACCCUUACAAAUAUAAGUCACCACCACCACCCGUGCACUACUCACCACCGCAUCACCCUUACAAAUACAAAUCCCCGCCGCCACCAACCACCACCCGGUGCACUACACACCAAAACAUCAACCUUUCAAAUCAAGUCCCCACCGCCGCCCACCGCCACCCGUGCACUACUCACCACCGCAUCACCCUUACAAGUACAAGUCCCCACCGCCACCACCACCGCCACCCGUGCACUACUCACCACCGCAUCACCCUUACAAGUACAAGUCCCCACCGCCACCACCACCUGCCACCCGUGCCCUACUCACCCCACCAAUCACCCUUACAAUACAGUCCCCCUCCGCGCAGCCACCACCACCAGUGCACUACCCACCAACCGCACUACCCACCACCACAUCACCCUUACCAAUACAAAAUCCCACCGCCACACCACACCCCACCACCAACCAGUGCACUACCCACCACCACAUCACCUUACAAAUACAAAUCCCC
rnacentral:lncRNA from 1 species